rnacentral:rRNA from 1 species
UACGGAGGGGGUUAGCGUUGUUCGGAAUUACUGGGCGUAAAGCGCGCGUAGGCGGACUAUUAAGUCAGGGGUGAAAUCCCGGGGCUCAACCCCGGAACUGCCUUUGAUACUGGUAGUCUUGAGUUCGAGAGAGGUGAGUGGAAUUCCGAGUGUAGAGGUGAAAUUCGUAGAUAUUCGGAGGAACACCAGUGGCGAAGGCGGCUCACUGGCUCGAUACUGACGCUGAGGUGCGAAAGUGUGGGGAGCAAACAGG